GGCCUAACACAUGCAAGUCGAACGGGUAACAGGAAGAAGCUUGCUUCUUUGCUGACGAGUGGCGGACGGGUGAGUAAUGUCUGGGAAACUGCCUGAUGGAGGGGGAUAACUACUGGAAACGGUAGCUAAUACCGCAUAACGUCGCAAGACCAAAAAGGGGGACCUUCGGGCCUCUUGCCAUCGGAUGUGCCCAGAUGGGAUUAGCUAGUAGGUGGGGUAACGGCUCACCUAGGCGACGAUCCCUAGCUGGUCUGAGAGGAUGACCAGCCACACUGGAACUGAGACACGGUCCAGACUCCUACGGGAGGCAGCAGUGGGGAAUAUUGCACAAUGGGCGCAAGCCUGAUGCAGCCAUGCCGCGUGUAUGAAGAAGGCCUUCGGGUUGUAAAGUACUUUCAGCGGGGAGGAAGGGAGUAAAGUUAAUACCUUUGCUCAUUGACGUUACCCGCAGAAGAAGCACCGGCUAACUCCGUGCCAGCAGCCGCGGUAAUACGGAGGGUGCAAGCGUUAAUCGGAAUUACUGGGCGUAAAGCGCACGCAGGCGGUUUGUUAAGUCAGAUGUGAAAUCCCCGGGCUCAACCUGGGAACUGCAUCUGAUACUGGCAAGCUUGAGUCUCGUAGAGGGGGGUAGAAUUCCAGGUGUAGCGGUGAAAUGCGUAGAGAUCUGGAGGAAUAC
rnacentral:rRNA from 1 species